rnacentral:rRNA from 1 species
ACGAACGCUGGCGGCGUGCCUAAUACAUGCAAGUCGAACGCUUCUUUUUCCACCGGAGCUUGCUCCACCGGAAAAAGAGGAGUGGCGAACGGGUGAGUAACACGUGGGUAACCUGCCCAUCAGAAGGGGAUAACACUUGGAAACAGGUGCUAAUACCGUAUAACAAUCGAAACCGCAUGGUUUUGAUUUGAAAGGCGCUUUCGGGUGUCGCUGAUGGAUGGACCCGCGGUGCAUUAGCUAGUUGGUGAGGUAACGGCUCACCAAGGCGACGAUGCAUAGCCGACCUGAGAGGGUGAUCGGCCACAUUGGGACUGAGACACGGCCCAAACUCCUACGGGAGGCAGCAGUAGGGAAUCUUCGGCAAUGGACGAAAGUCUGACCGAGCAACGCCGCGUGAGUGAAGAAGGUUUUCGGAUCGUAAAACUCUGUUGUUAGAGAAGAACAAGGAUGAGAGUAACUGUUCAUCCCUUGACGGUAUCUAACCAGAAAGCCACGGCUAACUACGUGCCAGCAGCCGCGGUAAUACGUAGGUGGCAAGCGUUGUCCGGAUUUAUUGGGCGUAAAGCGAGCGCAGGCGGUUUCUUAAGUCUGAUGUGAAAGCCCCCGGCUCAACCGGGGAGGGUCAUUGGAAACUGGGAGACUUGAGUGCAGAAGAGGAGAGUGGAAUUCCAUGUGUAGCGGUGAAAUGCGUAGAUAUAUGGAGGAACACCAGUGGCGAAGGCGGCUCUCUGGUCUGUAACUGACGCUGAGGCUCGAAAGCGUGGGGAGCAAACAGGAUUAGAUACCCUGGUAGUCCACGCCGUAAACGAUGAGUGCUAAGUGUUGGAGGGUUUCCGCCCUUCAGUGCUGCAGCUAACGCAUUAAGCACUCCGCCUGGGGAGUACGACCGCAAGGUUGAAACUCAAAGGAAUUGACGGGGGCCCGCACAAGCGGUGGAGCAUGUGGUUUAAUUCGAAGCAACGCGAAGAACCUUACCAGGUCUUGACAUCCUUUGACCACUCUAGAGAUAGAGCUUCCCCUUCGGGGGCAAAGUGACAGGUGGUGCAUGGUUGUCGUCAGCUCGUGUCGUGAGAUGUUGGGUUAAGUCCCGCAACGAGCGCAACCCUUAUGUUUAGUUGCUACGCAAGAGCACUCUAAAGAGACUGCCGUUGACAAAACGGAGGAAGGUGGGGAUGACGUCAAAUCAUCAUGCCCCUUAUGACCUGGGCUACACACGUGCUACAAUGGGAAGUACAACGAGUCGCAAAGUCGCGAGGCUAAGCUAAUCUCUUAAAGCUUCUCUCAGUUCGGAUUGUAGGCUGCAACUCGCCUACAUGAAGCCGGAAUCGCUAGUAAUCGCGGAUCAGCACGCCGCGGUGAAUACGUUCCCGGGCCUUGUACACACCGCCCGUCACACCACGAGAGUUUGUAACACCCGAAGUCGGUGAGGUAACCUUUUGGAGCCAGCCGCCUAAGGUGGGAUAGAUGAUUGGGGUG